ACGAACGCUGGCGGCGUGCUUAACACAUGCAAGUCGAACGAGACGAUUUAGAAGCUUGCUUUUAUUGAGUCGAGUGGCAAACGGGUGAGUAACGCGUAGACAACCUGCCGCAAAGAUGGGGACAACAGUCCGAAAGGACUGCUAAUACCGAAUGUUGUAUCUCCUCCGCAUGGAAGAGAUAUUAAAGAUGGCCUCUACUUGUAAGCUAUCGCUUUGCGAUGGGUCUGCGUCUGAUUAGCUUGUUGGCGGGGUAACGGCCCACCAAGGCUACGAUCAGUAGGGGUUCUGAGAGGAAGGUCCCCCACAUUGGAACUGAGACACGGUCCAAACUCCUACGGGAGGCAGCAGUGAGGAAUAUUGGUCAAUGGGCGAGAGCCUGAACCAGCCAAGUAGCGUGCAGGAUGACGGCCCUAUGGGUUGUAAACUGCUUUUAUAAGGGAAUAAAGUGAGCCUCGUGAGGCUUUUGCAUGUACCUUAUGAAUAAGGACCGGCUAAUUCCGUG
rnacentral:rRNA from 1 species